rnacentral:rRNA from 1 species
UAACACAUGCAAGUCGAACGUGAUUUUUGUGGAAAUUCUUUCGGGAAUGGAAAUGAAAUGAAAGUGGCGAACGGGUGAGUAACACGUGAGCAACCUACCUUACACAGGGGGAUAGCCGUUGGAAACGACGAUUAAUACCGCAUGGGACCACAGAAUCGCAUGAUAUAGGGGUCAAAGAUUUAUCGGUGUAAGAAGGGCUCGCGUCUGAUUAGCUAGUUGGAAGGGCAAAGGCCUACCAAGGCGACGAUCAGUAGCCGGUCUGAGAGGAUGAACGGCCACAUUGGAACUGAGACACGGUCCAAACUCCUACGGGAGGCAGCAGUGGGGAAUAUUGCACAAUGGGGGGAACCCUGAUGCAGCGACGCCGCGUGAGCGAAGAAGGUUUUCGAAUCGUAAAGCUCUGUCCUAUGAGAAGAUAAUGACGGUAUCAUAGGAGGAAGCCCCGGCUAAAUACGUGCCAGCAGCCGCGGUAAUACGUAUGGGGCGAGCGUUGUCCGGAAUUAUUGGGCGUAAAGGGUACGUAGGCGGUUUUUUAAGUCAGGUGUGAAAGCGUGAGGCUUAACCUCAUUAAGCACUUGAAACUGGAAGACUUGAGUGAAGGAGAGGAAAGUGGAAUUCCUAGUGUAGCGGUGAAUGCGUAGAUAUUAGGAGGAUACCGGUGGCGAAGGCGACUUUCUGGACUUUUACUGACG